rnacentral:rRNA from 1 species
UACGAGGGGGGCGAGCGUUGUUCGGAAUUAUUGGGCGUAAAGGGCGCGUAGGCGGUCGGAUAAGUCUUGUGUGAAAUCUUCGGGCUCAACUCGAAGUCUGCACAGGAAACUAUCUGGCUUGAGUGUGGGAGAGGUGAGUGGAAUUCCUGGUGUAGCGGUGAAAUGCGCAGAUAUCAGGAGGAACACCGGUGGCGAAGGCGGGUCUCUGGGCCGAUACUGACGCUGAGGAGCGAAAGCGUGGGGAGCGAACAGG